rnacentral:rRNA from 1 species
UACGGGGGGAGCAAGCGUUGUUCGGAUUUACUGGGCGUAAAGGGCGCGUAGGCGGCCACCGCAAGUCAAUUGUGAAAUCUCCGGGCUUAACUCGGAAAGGUCAACUGAUACUGCGGGGCUAGAGUGCGGAAGGGGCAACUGGAAUUCUCGGUGUAGCGGUGAAAUGCGUAGAUAUCGAGAGGAACACCUGCGGCGAAGGCGGGUUGCUAGGCUGACACUGACGCUGAAGCGCGAAAGCUAGGGUAGCAAACGGG